rnacentral:rRNA from 1 species
UCAGGCCUAACACAUGCAAGUCGAACGCAUCGCAAGAUGAGUGGCGCACGGGUGAGUAACACGUGGGAACGUACCCUUUGGUUCGGAAUAACGUCUGGAAACGGACGCUAAUACCGGAUGAGCCCUGUGGGGGAAAGAUUUAUCGCCAAAGGAGCGGCCCGCGUCUGAUUAGGUAGUUGGUGGGGUAACGGCCUACCAAGCCGACGAUCAGUAGCUGGUCUGAGAGGAUGAUCAGCCACACUGGGACUGAGACACGGCCCAGACUCCUACGGGAGGCAGCAGUGGGGA